rnacentral:rRNA from 1 species
CCUACGGGUGGCUGCAGUGAGGAAUCUUGGUCAAUGGACGCAAGUCUGAACCAGCCAUGCCGCGUGCAUGAAGAAGGCCCUAUGAGCUGUAAACUGUGUUUGUACGAGGGUAAACGCAGAUACGCGAAUGUGUCUGAAAGUAUAGUAUGUAUAAGGAUCGGCAAAGUUCGUGCCAGCAGCCGCGGUAAUACGGAGGUUUCAAGCGGUACACGGAUUGAUUGGGUUGAAAGGGAGCGUAGGCGGUCGUAUAAUUUAGAGGUGAAGUCCCGAGGCUCAACUUCGGAAGUGCCUCUGAUACUGGUCGACUAGAGAGUAGAUGCGGUGGGCGGAAUGCAAGGUGUAGCGGUGAAAUGCUUAGAUAUCAGACAGAACACCAGUUGCGAAGGCAGCUUACCAAGCU